GGAGAGAGCAAAAGAGGAGAAGAGAGACAGAGCAAUAGUAUAAGAUGGGAAGCUGUAGUUUCCAACCAACGAACGAUGUUUGAUCUUGUUUGAAGUUCAUCAAUGUGGAUCGUCCGUUUGCUGAGAAACACUAUGAGGACUUGUCUUCAAAGCCCUUUUUCAGUGGAUUGAUUGAUUAUAUUAUUUCUGGUCCCGUUAUUGCUAUGACUUGGGAGGGUAAGAAUGUUAUCCUAACUGGCCGAAAGAUUUUUGGCAGGUGGGGCAAGGGCUCCUAGUGAGGCUCAAGAAAUCCUUGUCGGAAGAGGUGGAGUUGCGGGGACUGUGCCAUCUUUGAAAACUGAGAGUGUUGUAAUGGGCAGGCACCUUGGCUUAGAUCUCGCCAAGGUGGAGAUCCUUGGUGUAGGCGGCUCGAUACAAUUCAUGAUGUGUAAGUUCCACAUUGGAGAAUACAACAAUAAUCCAAUUGAAAUAUUGGUGGACCACUCCUAAUUGUACCUAGAUGGUUAAGGUCGGGACAAUACAUGGUUUGGACAAGUAGUGGACUCCUAAUGGGCAUGGUGGUACCAACAACCCCAUUUAAUGCAGAACAAGGUCAUGCCAUGGCUAAUUUGUGCAACAACAAAAUGACCCAAGAUGCAGAUUUAGAAAAACAGAUCGUCAGCUUGCAGCAAUAUCUAAUCAAUAAUGCAAUGUACAUGAGAUUUAAGUACCUAUGAGAUAGGUUGAACUUUCCCAUUUUGUAAGGAGUAAGGAGAGGAAUUGUGGGAGGUUGAGCAGACAUGUUAUUUUGCACUUGGCCUUUGCUCUGUAACGGUUUUGGUUCUUUUUUGUUUUGCUCUGGAAAUGAAUGGAAGACCCCAAUUGGGGUUUUAUACAUUUAGUAGGAACCCAAAGACAAGACAUUGAGACGUU